rnacentral:lncRNA from 11 species
GCCCUAACACAAAUUGGGGAAAGCUGGACUCUUGCAAUAGACUUUGAAGGAGACAGCAAACAAAUAGCUUAAACUGCAAACCAAUACACUUUUAUGUUGGUGUAGGUCCAUUGAACAAAUUCAAACCUACUUCUGAGUACUCCGCAAUGAUUCCUCAGCAUUUGAACUUCACCUCUCCUUCAUACCACUUGCUCUCAUAACUACCAAAACCUGUUCCUUGAUGGGUGGUCAGCACUGACUUGGCUCUUACCAAGCCUGGCCUCCACUGUGUCCACCAACUGUACAAAGAAAGUGCAGUAAGUAUUCAAGGCACUUGUCUGAGCAGUCAUGAGAU